rnacentral:tRNA from 2 species
GGAAAGAUGACAGAGUGGACGAAUGUGCGCGACUGCUAAUCGCGUGAGCCUGCAAAGGUUCCGAGGGUUCGAAUCCCUCUCUUUCCGCCA